UCAGGCCUAACACAUGCAAGUCGAACGAUGCCUUCGGGCAUAGUGGCGCACGGGUGCGUAACGCGUGGGAAUCUGCCCUUCGGUUCGGAAUAACUCAGGGAAACUUGAGCUAAUACCGGAUGAUGACGUAAGUCCAAAGAUUUAUCGCCGAAGGAUGAGCCCACGUAGGAUUAGGUAGUUGGUGGGGUAAUGGCCCACCAAGCCGACGAUCCUUAGGUGGUCUGAGAGGAUGAUCAUCCACACUGGGACUGAGACACGGCCCAGACUCCUACGGGAGGCAGCAGUGGGGAAUCUUAAAGAAUGGGCGCAAGCCUGAUCUAGCCAUGCCGCGUAUAAAGGGAGGCCUUAGGGUUGUAAAGCUCUUUCAGCUGGGAAGA
rnacentral:rRNA from 1 species